UCCUUAGAUGAUUUGGGCUGCACGCGCGCUACACUGACCCUAACAAUGAGCAACUGUCUGGCCUGAGAUGGCUGGGUAGCCUUUUCAACCCAUGUCAUGAUUGGGCUAGAUUUUUGUAAGUCUUGAUCUCUAACGAGGAAUCCCUAGUAUGUGUGAAUCAUCAAUCCAUGCAGAUUAUGUCCCUGCCCUUUGUACACACCGCCCGUCGCCCCUACUGAUUGGGUGAUCCGGUGAGCUGUUCGGCCAUAGCAAUGUUUCUUGAGCAGGGCAAUGAAUGUUUCGCAAACCUUGCCACUUAGAGGAAGGAGAAGUCGUAACA
rnacentral:rRNA from 1 species